UACGGAGGGUGCUAGUGUUAAUCGGAAUUACUGCGCGUAAAGCGCACGCUGGCGGUCUGUCAAGUCGGAUGUGAAAUCGCUGGGCUCAACCUGGGAAUUGCAUUCGAAACUGGCAGGCUAGAGUCUUGUAGAGGGGCGUAGAAUUCCAGGUGUAGCGGUGAAAUGCGUAGAGAUCUGGAGGAAUACCGGUGGCGAAGGCGGCCCCCUGGACACAGACUGACGCUCAGGUGCGAAAGCGUGGGGAGCAAACAGGAUUAGAUACCCUGGUAGUCCACGCCGUAAACGAUGUCGAUUUGGAGGUUGUGCCCUUGAGGCGUGGCUUCCGGAGCUAACGCGUUAAAUCGACCGCCUGGGGAGUACGGCCGCAAGGUUAAAACUCAAAUGAAUUGACGGGGGCCCGCACAAGCGGUGGAGCAUGUGGUUUAAUUCGAUGCAACGCGAAGAACCUUACCUGGUCUUGACAUCCACAGAACUUUCCAGAGAUGGAUUGGUGCCUUCGGGAACUGUGAGACAGGUGCUGCAUGGCUGUCGUCAGCUCGUGUUGUGAAAUGUUGGGUUAAGUCCCGCAACGAGCGCAACCCUUAUCCUUUGUUGCCAGCGGUCCGGCCGGGAACUCAAAGGAGACUGCCAGUGAUAAACUGGAGGAAGGUGGGGAUGACGUCAAGUCAUCAUGGCCCUUACGACCAGGGCUACACACGUGCUACAAUGGCAUAUACAAAGAGAAGCGACCUCGCGAGAGCAAGCGGACCUCAUAAAGUAUGUCGUAGUCCGGAUUGGAGUCUGCAACUCGACUCCAUGAAGUCGGAAUCGCUAGUAAUCGUAGAUCAGAAUGCUACGGUGAAUACGUUCCCGGGCCUUGUACACACCGCCCGUCACACCAUGGGAGUGGGUUGCAAAAGAAGUAGGUAGCUUAACCUUCGGGAGGGCGC
rnacentral:rRNA from 1 species